rnacentral:rRNA from 1 species
UGACGUAUGUGUGAAUCAUCGAAUCUUUGAAUGCACAUUGCACCCGUUGGGCCAUCCUGACGGGUCUGGCUGGCUGAGUGGAGCUAAAGUAGUAUAAUAAAAUAUUCGUUUUGUUAUACUCUCGGCCCUUUUCCUUAUAGUUAAUUGGACCGGAUAUUGAGUUGUCCAGAUGAUGUGGUGUUUUGUUCCUAGAGCAAUUAUACGCAUCUAUAUGGUCGCUUAAAAUUCAGACAGAUAGCUGACGACGAAGACGUUAUUAGUGUAGUGAUGACCGGGUAAUAAUACCAUUCCUCAUCUAUCUCUCAAUACGUUUCAUUGUAUAAUAUACAAUAGUCAGAUUUAUUUGUUUUUUGCGCAUUUUGAAUAGAAAGCUUUUUGCUUUUCUUUCUUAUCUCAUCUCCCUCAGAUUAGACAGGAUGACCCGCUGAACUUAAGCAUAUCAAUAAGCGGAGG